rnacentral:rRNA from 1 species
GACGAACGCUGGCGGCGUGCUUAACACAUGCAAGUCGAACGGAAAGGCCCUGCUUUUGUGGGGUGCUCGAGUGGCGAACGGGUGAGUAACACGUGAGUAACCUGCCCUUGACUUUGGGAUAACUUCAGGAAACUGGGGCUAAUACCGGAUAGGAGCUCCUGCUGCAUGGUGGGGGUUGGAAAGUUUCGGCGGUUGGGGAUGGACUCGCGGCUUAUCGGCUUGUUGGUGGGGUAGUGGCUUACCAAGGCUUCGACGGGUAGCCGGCCUGAGAGGGUGACCGGCCACAUAGGGACUGAGAUACGGCCCAGACUGCUACGGGAGGCAGCAGUGGGGAAGAUUGCAGAAUGGGCGGAAGCCUGAUGCAGCAACGCCGCGGGCGGGAUGACGGCCUUCGGGUUGUAAACCACUUUCGCCUGUGACGAAGCGUGAGUGACGGUAAUGGGUAAAGAAGCACCGGCUAACUACGUG